GAUGAACGCUGGCGGCGUGCCUAAUACAUGCAGGUCGAGCGAACGGACGAGAAGCUUGCUUUUCUGAUGUUAGCGGCGGACGGGUGAGUAACACGUGGAUAACCUACCUAUAAGACUGGGAUAACUUCGGGAAACCGGAGCUAAUACCGGAUAAUAUUUUGAACCGCAUGGUUCAAAAGUGAAAGACGGUCUUGCUGUCACUUAUAGAUGGAUCCGCGCUGCAUUAGCUAGUUGGUAAGGUAACGGCUUACCAAGGCAACGAUGCAUAGCCGACCUGAGAGGGUGAUCGGCCACACUGGAACUGAGACACGGUCCAGACUCCUACGGGAGGCAGCAGUAGGGAAUCUUCCGCAAUGGGCGAAAGCCUGACGGAGCAACGCCGUGUGAGUGAUGAAGGUCUUCGGAUCGUAAAACUCUGUUAUUAGGGAAGAACAUAUGUGUAAGUAACUGUGCACAUCUUGACGGUACCUAAUCAGAAAGCCACGGCUAACUACGUG
rnacentral:rRNA from 1 species